AGGAGGUGAUGGAGGAGGCGGAGGGGGCGAAGGGGAUGGCGGAGGAGGUGAUGGAGGAGGAGGUGGUGGAGGGGGCGGAGGGGAAGGUGAAGGAGGUAGUGGAGGCAAUGGUGAAGGAGGUGGUGGAACAGCUGGAAACGGGUAAGGUGAGGGUGGAGGAUGCGACGGAGGGGAUGGUGGAGGAGAUGGUGGAACAGUUGGAGAUGGAUAAGGAUAUGGUGCAAAAGGUGGCUGAGGGGAUGGGGGUGGAGGGAAUAGUGGAACGUCUGGAGAUAACGGAGGGGAUGGUGGAGGAGGUGGUGGAACGAUCGGAGACGGAUAAGGAAAUGGUGCAGAAGGAGGUGGAGAGGAUGGUGGAGUAGAUGGCGGA
rnacentral:misc_RNA from 1 species